rnacentral:rRNA from 1 species
UACGUAGGGUGCAAGCGUUGUCCGGAAUUAUUGGGCGUAAAGAGCUCGUAGGCGGUCUUAUAAGUCAGUGGUGAAAUACGGCAGCUCAACUGUCGAGGUGCCAUUGAUACUGUAGGACUUGAGUACAGACGAGGUAGGCGGAAUUGACGGUGUAGCGGUGAAAUGCUUAGAUAUCGUCAAGAACACCGAUAGCGAAGGCAGCUUACUAGGCUGUAACUGACGCUGAGGCACGAAAGUGUGGGGAUCAAACAGG